rnacentral:rRNA from 1 species
AUUGAACGCUGGCGGCAUGCCUUACACAUGCAAGUCGAACGGCAGCACGGGGGCAACCCUGGUGGCGAGUGGCGAACGGGUGAGUAAUAUAUCGGAACAUGCCCUGAAGUGGGGGAUAACGUAGCGAAAGUUACGCUAAUACCGCAUAUUCUGUGAGCAGGAAAGCAGGGGAUCGCAAGACCUUGCGCUUUAGGAGUGGCCGAUAUCGGAUUAGCUAGUUGGUGAGGUAAAAGCUCACCAAGGCGACGAUCCGUAGCGGGUCUGAGAGGAUGAUCCGCCACACUGGGACUGAGACACGGCCCAGACUCCUACGGGAGGCAGCAGUGGGGAAUUUUGGACAAUGGGCGCAAGCCUGAUCCAGCCAUGCCGCGUGAGUGAAGAAGGCCUUCGGGUUGUAAAGCUCUUUCGGCGGGGAAGAAAUUGCUUCGGCUAAUAUCCGGAGUAGAUGACGGUACCCGCAUAAGAAGCACCGGCUAACUACGUGCCAGCAGCCGCGGUAAGAC